UGAGCAACCUACCGAACUGUGGGGGAUAGCCGGCCUAACGGCCGAGUAAUACCGCAUACGCUCUCAGGGAGGCAUUUCUUUGAGAGGAAACCUACGGGACAGAUCGAGGGGCUCGCGGCCUAUCAGCCAGUUGGCGAGGUAACGCUCACCAAGGCAACGGACGGGUAGCUGGUCUGAGAGGAUGGCCAGCCACAGUUGGGACUGAGAUACCGGCCCAGACCUCCGACGGGAGNAG
rnacentral:rRNA from 1 species